rnacentral:rRNA from 1 species
UACGUAGGGUGCAAGCGUUGUCCGGAAUUAUUGGGCGUAAAGAGCUCGUAGGCGGUUCGGUAAGUCAGGUGUGAAAUCUCCACGCUCAACGUGGAGGCGCCACCUGAAACUGCCGUGACUCGAGUCCGGUAGGGGAGUGUGGAAUUCCCGGUGUAGCGGUGAAAUGCGCAGAUAUUGGGAAGAACACCAGUGGCGAAGGCGGCUCACUGGCCCGUAACUGACGCUGAGGUGCGAAAGCGUGGGGAGCAAACAGG